AUACCCUUUGUAAUUAAAUUAAUCUCGUCCAAAUUCACCCAGUUCCACGACAAACUCUCCACUCACCCCAACCCACUAGCCCAAUCCAUGUCCUACAUUCCUGUCCGCCGAGAGGAGAUGGCCUCGGGACCUCCUCAUCAAGGACUAACCCUGCACAAAACUGGGAGACCAACAAUGGUUGGCAACUCCCCUCAAGACUACACAGUGUAUAAUGUAAAUAUGUAACUAACCUCAAAUUACGAGAUGCAUAUUCUAUUUAUUCAGGUAGCAAUUAAAAAAAGUUAAGUAAACCUAAGCAUUCAAUUAUCACUCGCUAUCACUCAAGAUGAGAGAUCACGAGGUCAUUGGCGUUUCAGUCGAGACUAUCAGAAAGUGUGGCUGAGGAAAGCUGGAUUACUAAGAGGUUGGGAUGACCAGUGGUCGAGUGGAAUUUGUUGUAUUUGAUGGCGUGGAAAACAUAAGGGAUAAUUGAAACGUACGAUUGGUCAAAGAAAGGAGCAUUUGCAAUGCGAAUGUUUUAGGCUGGAAAAAUUGGAUUCGGUAGUAGUAGGAUGAGUGACCCCCAUAUUUCCAUACAGUAAGUCCAUGUCGGUUUUAGUCGUGUGUUGUAGAUUAGUCUUUUAUGUCAAGCGAUAAUUUGGAUUGCCUUUCUAAGAGCCGAGAGAGAUUUUUAUAUCGUCUAUUUAGUCCACAUGAGCCGUUUGUUGAUGUAAAGUCCUAUGUAGCGCAUAGUUUGUUGUAGUAGAGAAGCACUGUUGAGGUACAGAGGGGGCACUUUCACAUAUUUUGGUCCAUCAAUCCGAAGGCUUCAGGAGGAAAUAUCAUAGCUUUCACAUCUGCUUUAUUAUUUUUAAAGAAGUCCUACUUUCAAUGAAAUUAAAUUAAGACGGGUUUAAUUGUUGUGUUGGGAAAUUAAACACCAAGAAAAGGUCGUAGGUAAACGGAAAUAUUUCUGUAUUCCCCGGGAACGGAUUUGCUAGGCUGUAUGCAUGUCGUAUAAACAAAGCGCCCCCCCCCCCAAAAAAAAAAUUCACGUGCUGGGCAAUUUAUCACAAACAAAAGAUUGAAAUGAAAGACCUCCUUUCAGGAGAACAUUUAUUGUCAACGGGACUGACGCUGCGGGAGAAAGUAGCGGUGGGUGGUGUGAUGGAUGAGGGGCUUGAAUUUCAACUUGACAAUGCGACUUGAACUGGGGCAUUGAGGAAAACCAGACAGUGCCUGUUUUAAAAGCCAAAGGAGUGAAAAACAUUAAAUUUGACUUAAAUAAGGAAUAAUGUAACGUUUUUUUAAUCGCUCUUUGGAAAAUUAAUCAAACUCAAUGAAAAUAAACAUUU